CCAAGAGUAAGAAUGAUUUUUCGUUUCGCCCUCUAAUGGCCGAGAAUGAUAGAGAGCAGUUAGCUUUAUUAAUCCCAAGACCUGCCCAGCUGUGAAAACUAAUUCAGCACUUGGUUGAUGGCCAACGCAUUACGCACGGAGCUAUCUGCGAAAAUGAGCACAUCAUCAGCAUAUAUUAUAUGAUAAACAUAGAGUUUAUGAAAUCUUCUUGAAUGGGUGAUCCGGUUUACUUCCCUGUUAAAGUUAAAAAAAAGCUGGCUGAAUAUUUCCGGGUGAAAAGAUAGGCUCUAAGAGACCUGUCUCAAACCGCGGCCCCCCCUGAAGAAGCUAGAUGGAGAUCCGUUAAUCAUAACUGCAAAUGACACUAUGGAGAUACAUUAUCUAAUCCAUCUUACCUAAAUUUCAAGAAACUUCAAGGAUUCAAGGGUGGGUAUUGAGGACAGCAUCCCAAGGAACGGAGUCGUACGCCUUGCGAAUAUCUAACUUGGCGCAAAACUUAGGAGCUUAAUGCGUCUCUAUGAAAGUUACGGACCAGCCCG
rnacentral:lncRNA from 1 species